rnacentral:tRNA from 1 species
GCCGAAGUGGUGGAAUUGGUAGACACGCCAUCUUGAGGGGGUGGUGAGCACCGCUCGUCCGGGUUCAAAUCCCGGCUUCGGCACCA